GUCAGGAUGGCCGAGCGGUCCAAGUGCAGUCCAAGCUGCGUUCAGGUCGCAGUCUCCAAUGGAGGCGUGGGUUCGAAUCCCACUUCUGACA